CCCUGCUUCAUGUUCCACAGACCGAUUGCAACGAUCAGAUCAUCUUUGCUAUUGAAAUACAUAUUCUUUGACAACUCCCGAGGCAAUAGCUGAUAAUCUUCAAUAUCCACAAGUGCCGCUGCGGCGUCCAACGGGAUAACCGGAACUAACCAAUUAGUUAGUUCAUCUGCUCCAGGAACCUGUUCGUCAUCAUCCUCGUCGAUCUGCAAAUUCUGCCAACCUGCAUAUUCAAUCCCCGCCCUUCUCACGUUCUCUGGCUCCGACAAGUCUUCAGAGGCGCUUGUAUCAGUCUCGGCUUCAAACGAUGGAACAUAAUCUUCAUCUACAUUACCAGCAUCCUCCACAAACUGAGGCUCGUACGUAUAUUGAUCAUCAGCUGGACCCCAACAACGAUCAGUUGUUAGGCGAUCGUACUGGUACGGAUUUGGCUCAUCCCAUGAAGGCCAACCCGUUGACUGAUCAUUACCCCAAGUGACCGACGGUUCAACACUUUGUUG
rnacentral:lncRNA from 1 species